rnacentral:lncRNA from 1 species
UGAAGACCCACCUGUGAGCUGUAACCUGGAGACCAGUGCUCCAUACCUCCUGUGCAUGCUCCACACUUCAUGAUGCUGUGCCUUUUCUGCCCUUCCCCACAGUUUCCUUCCCUGUCAUGUGGCUGACCAAGUGCCCACUGACAUUGGCAGACUCAGUGAACUGAAUUGAAUGGGAAGAUGCCAAGACUUCUGGGAAGGGAGAGCUAGCCCAAAGAUCUCCUUGCCUUUUAAAAAUUCCAUGGUUUAGACCUGGAGAGAGCUCAGUUGUUAAAAUAUUUGUCAUGCAAGCAUGAGGCCUAGAGUUUGAGCCCCAUAUAAAAACAUCUGGGUGAGGUAGGAUAUAGCUGUAAUCCUAUCCCUGAGAAAGCUAAGACAAAAUCCCUGAGACUUACUGAUAAGCCAGCUUUGGUGAACUCCAGACCAGUGAGAGAUGCUGUCAC